GCAGGUCAGAAAAUCCUUACAGAG
rnacentral:piRNA from 1 species